ensembl:misc_RNA Metazoa_SRP Metazoan signal recognition particle RNA
GCCAGGCAUGGUGGUGCACGCCUGUAAUCCCAGCUACUCAGGAGGCUGAGGCAGGAGAAUCACUUGAACCCAGGAGGCAGAGGUUGUAGUGAGCCAAGAUUGUGCCACUGCACUCCAGCCUGGGUGACAGAGUGAGACUCUGUCUCAA